UUAGCUGAAGCCAAAAUAGAGGCUUAACAUUGUUAAUGUUUAUAUUGAUUAAAAGUCCUGCU
rnacentral:tRNA from 1 species